rnacentral:rRNA from 1 species
AGCGAACGCUGGCGGCAGGCCUAACACAUGCAAGUCGAACGAAGCCUUCGGGCUUAGUGGCGGACGGGUGAGUAACACGUGGGAACGUACCUUUUGGUUCGGAAUAACGCAGAGAAAUUUGCGCUAAUACCGAAUGAGCCCUUCGGGGGAAAGAUUUAUCGCCGAAAGAUCGGCCCGCGUUGGAUUAGGUAGUUGGUGUGGUAAAGGCGCACCAAGCCUACGAUCCACAGCUGGUCUGAGAGGAUGAUCAGCCACACUGGGACUGAGACACGGCCCCCACUCCUACGGGAGGCAGCAGCAAGGAGUUUUCCGCAAUGGGCGAAAGCCUGACGGAGCAACGCCGCGUGGGGGAUGACACCUUUCGGGGCGUAAACCCCUUUUCUUGGGGACGAAGCAGUGACGGUACCCGAGGAAGAAGGCCCGGCUAACUACGUGCCAGCCGCCGCCGUAA